GUCGAGGGGCAGCGGGAGUGCUUGCACUCGCCGGCGACUGGCGCACGGGUGCGGAACGCGUAUCGAAUCUGCCUCUAUCUGGGGGAUACCCCAUGGAAACGUGGAAUAAUACCCCAUAGUAUUACUUUAUCGCAUGAUUUAGUAAUUAAAGAAUUUCGGAUAGAGAUGACGAUGCGUAUCAUUAGCUAGUAGGUAAGGUAACGGCUUACCUAGGCAACGAUGAUUAGGGGUCCUGAGAGGGAGAUCCCCCACACUGGUACUGAGACACGGACCAGACUCCUACGGGAGGCAGCAGUGAGGAAUAUUGGACAAUGGUCGAAAGACUGAUCCAGCCAUGCCGCGUGCAGGAUGACUGCCCUAUGGGUUGUAAACUGCUUUUAUACGGGAAGAAAAACACCUACGUGUAGGUGACUGACGGUACCGUAAGAAUAAGGACCGGCUAACUCCGUGCCAGCAGCCGCGGUAAUACGGAGGGUCCAAGCGUUAUCCGGAAUCAUUGGGUUUAAAGGGUCCGUAGGCGGGCUAUUAAGUCAGAGGUGAAAGUUUGCAGCUCAACUGUAAAAUUGCCUUUGAUACUGAUAGUCUUGAAUUGUAGUGAAGUGGUUAGAAUAUGUGGUGUAGCGGUGAAAUGCAUAGAUAUCACAUAGAAUACCGAUUGCGAAGGCAGAUCACUAACUAUAUAUUGACGCUGAGGGACGAAAGCGUGGGGAGCGAACGGGAUUAGAUACCCCGGUAGUCCACGCCGUAAACGAUGGAUACUAGCUGUUGGAU
rnacentral:rRNA from 1 species